UUAGUUUUAAUCAAUGUGAGUCUACACUUUAGAAAUGAAACCUACAUAAAGUGGUAGGACAUGCACUGAUUUCAUUCAG
rnacentral:pre_miRNA from 1 species